GUUUUGUUUCUAUUCUGUAUGCUGUCUGGUCCUGUGACCGUCAGGUUGCCUGUGGGUGAUCACUUUGUAGUCUGUUUGGGUAUUGACAGAAUCUGAUUGCAACUAAUUAUUUUCCUGAUUUUACUCUAGCCUUGGGGAGUUAGCAGUGCUGUUUUGUUGGCAACGACCACUCUCCUGGUUCUAGAAAAACUGGAAAUAACCUGUGGUUAUGCUUCCCUGUGAUCAGCCACUUCCUGACCCAGCCCCUGACCAGGAAGGAGAGCUUCCUACCAACAAGCUAAUCAGGAACAUCAGGUUUACAGAGAGCCAGUGGAGGAGCUGCUCCACUCUACGCGGGGGACUUCGACACCCUGAAACUGCUGUCGGAAAGAGAGAUCGCCGUAAGAAAAAUACAGGUCUUUUCCCAAGUCAAAGAAAGGCUUCUUUUCCUCCUAACUUUGAUCAUACCGCUUAAUCAUUCACAGUCUAAGCUCAAUGUCCUGCUAUUUAUAUAGAGAGAAAUUCUUCCAGGAAAUGGGCCACAUGCCUUUGCAUUCACAUAGUAUUUCUUUUAUAACAGGUAUAAUGUGUUUUUCGAGGGAAUGGCUUAUAUCUAAGAGUAAUACUUCAUCUAUGGACUAUAUAAAAUGGCCUCAAAUUCAUCACAGAAGCAAAAGGAAAGCUAUGGAUGUUGGGUAGCCCGUUCCACCACACACACACACACACACACACACACACACACACACCUAUGAUCAAUUGUAUUAGGGAAAUGCUGGAUUAUAAUACUUAAAUUGUUUAUUGACUUCAAAACGUCUCAAGUUCUUAAAUAUGCUAAUGUGUGAAAUGUAAUUAUAAGAGGAGAACAUAAUUUGGAGUAUUUUACCCAAAUGUUUUUGAUCAAUGGGACCCUUUUGUGUUGCAUAAUGUUACUCAAACACAUUCAGUCUUUGUAUGUUAUACAAUCCCGAUUUAUUAAAGGAUGUGCAUUUGCCUAAGACGGGUGACAUCUGGGAGUGUGCACUGGAUUGGACAGAACUCCAAGGGAGGACAGUGAUGAAAAUUCAGGGCAAAACUAGCUUCGGUUAAACUAAAAUGCACCAGCUGUGCAGCUGAGACCCAUUAUAAAGCAUCUUCAUUCAGGGCUGAGUAGGUAUUUGUCUUUGCUCUUUCUUGGUCAUUUUCUCUCUCUCUUUCUGCCUUUCAGUUCUGCUUUUCCGUUACCACCUCCUCUCGACAAGGCUCUUUCUAUGAGGUGGCAAACCUGUGAUUUCAGAAGGGAAGGGCCUCUUUUCUGGGAAUCCCAGCACAACCUAGAGAGGGUGCUCAUUGGCCAGUUUGGGUGAUGGAUCCAUUUGUAAUCCAAACACUGUGGACAGGGGAAUGCAGGAUAACGGGGGGCUCAGGUCAAGGUCCCAUGUUCACCCCAUGACGGAGGUGAAAGAGGAGUUAUUUCCACUCAACUACACAGAAUAGGG
ensembl:lncRNA